UGCGCAGGCGGUUGAUUAAGUCAGAUGUGAAAUCCCCGGGCUUAACCUGGGAGGUGCAUUUGAGACUGGUCGGCUAGAGUGUGUCAGAGGGGGGUAGAAUUCCACGUGUAGCAGUGAAAUGCGUAGAGAUGUGAAGGAAUACCGAUGGCGAAGGCAGCCCCCUGGGAUAACACUGACGCUCAGGCACGAAAGCGUGGGGAGCAAACA
rnacentral:rRNA from 1 species